GUCUUAAAGUUUUUAUCCAUCAAACAUAGAGAUACAAUUUUUCCAUGAAAAAUGAACUAAAUUUAAUUCUGAAAAUUAUAAAUGUUAAUAAUUUACAACAAACAUUCAAAAAUAUGUAUUUUUGCAAAUCAAAAUUUUAAAUUUUUGCUCAGUGAUAUCAGUGUAAUUAGAAAAGAUAUAAAAAGUUUUUCUCAAACUUCAAUUCGGGAUAUUUCAAGUUUUAUGCAUCAUAGGAAAUUGAUUCAGUUAUUGUUAGAAUCAGAAUUGGAUGAGGUUUUUACUGAUGUGCAAAAUAUACUAAUGCACAUUUUUUCAUUUGAAAUAAAUGAAAAAAUGGGCAGCCAGAUGGCCAAGUGCUAACGCUAUUGACAUGCCACACAGGACAACCUGGGUUCCCGUCCUGGGUCUGGUAACUCCUGAAAAGUUUUUUCAGGGUGCUGGGCCCGGCCCGGCUAUCCCCAUCCUUCACCAUCCUGCUCCCCUCCAUGGGUAUGGAUGCAGCUCGUGGUUGGAACUGACCCUGCCCCUUAGUAAUCUCCCUGAUUGAAAAGGGGCAUAAAAUAUGCAAAAGAAAAAAAAGAGAAAAUGUAUUUUAGAUGGAUUUUUGAUUCAAUCAGAUCCUGUUGUUGAAUAGCGAAAUUGAUACAUUUUAAAAUAAGUCCUCAUUGAGCUUUUUCUAUUGAACAGAAGCUAGAUAUUUAAGAUUGGACGUUUAUUCUGGGAUAUACUAUAUAUAUAAGCAGUGCAGCUCCUUAUAUAUAUAAUUAUUUGUUGUUUAUAAUGCGAUUUGUGUAUAAACAAACGAAUAUAUAACUUAUCAAUGGUUAUGUUACAAGCUUACCAAUGGCUCAAAAAUGAUCUAUUGAUUAUAUUUAAGCGGUCGUUACUAUAUAGGGGGAUUCACUAAACGUUUUGACGUUACAUGUAUCCGAAAUUUUCGUUGCCA
rnacentral:lncRNA from 1 species